rnacentral:rRNA from 1 species
CAAACUGGGAUUAGAUACCCCACUAUGCCUGGCCGUAAAUUCAAAUGCUUCUUUUCCCCACCCAAGCAUUCGCCAGGGAACUACGAGCACAAACGCUUAAAACCCUAAGGACUUGGCGGUGUCCCAAACCCCCCUAGAGGAGCCUGUUCU